GACAGAGGCCUCGAGCGUUAGGCGGAAUCACUGGGCUUAAAGCGUGUGUAGGCGGGCCCGUAAGUGUCUUGUGAAAUCCCACGGCUCAACCGUGGAACUGCUGGGCAUACUGCGGGUCUUGGGCCAACUAGGGGCAGCCGGAACAAGCGGUGGAGCGGUGAAAUGCGUAGAUAUCGCUUGGAACGCCGAAGGUGAAAACAGGCUGCUGGGGUUGCGCCGACGCUGAGACACGAAAGCCAGGGGAGCAAACGGGG
rnacentral:rRNA from 1 species